GGAGGGGUGCGGGAGUGGUUUAUCCGGCCGGUCUUGAAAACCGUGCGUCUUUUAGGCACGAGGGUUCGAAUCCCUCCCCCUCCG
rnacentral:tRNA from 1 species